rnacentral:rRNA from 1 species
UACGUAGGGGGCAAGCGUUGUCCGGAAUCAUUGGGCGUAAAGAGCGUGUAGGCGGCUCGAUAAGUCUGCUGUGAAAGUCCAGGGCUCAACCCUGGAAGGCCGGUGGAAACUGUCGGGCUAGAGUCCGGAAGAGGCGAGUGGAAUUCCCGGUGUAGCGGUGAAAUGCGCAGAUAUCGGGAGGAACACCAAUGGCGAAGGCAGCUCGCUGGGACGGUACUGACGCUGAGAAGCGAAAGCAUGGGGAGCGAACAGG